CCUACGGGAGGCAGCAGUGGGGGAUAUUGCACAAUGGAGGAACUCUGAUGCAGCAACGCCGCGUGGAGGAUGACACAUUUCGGUGCGUAAACUCCUUUUAUAUGGGAAGAUAAUGACGGUACCAUAUGAAUAAGCACCGGCGAASKCCGUGCCAGCG
rnacentral:rRNA from 1 species